rnacentral:rRNA from 1 species
CACUCCUGCGGGAGGCAGCAGUGGGGAAUUUUGGACAAUGGGGGCAACCCUGAUCCAGCAAUGCCGCGUGAGUGAAGAAGGCCUUCGGGUUGUAAAGCUCUUUUGUCAGGGAAGAAACGGUAGUAGCGAAUAACUAUUACUAAUGACGGUACCUGAAGAAUAAGCACCGGCUAACUACGUGCCAGCAGCCGCGGUAAUACGUAGGGUGCAAGCGUUAAUCGGAAUUACUGGGCGUAAAGCGUGCGCAGGCGGUUGUGUAAGUCAGAUGUGAAAUCCCCGGGCUCAACCUGGGAAUUGCAUUUGAGACUGCACGGCUAGAGUGUGUCAGAGGGGGGUAGAAUUCCACGUGUAGCAGUGAAAUGCGUAGAUAUGUGGAGGAAUACCGAUGGCGAAGGCAGCCCCCUGGGAUAACACUGACGCUCAUGCACGAAAGCGUGGGGAGCAAACAGGAUUAGAAACCCUUGUAGUCCCAUGA